GCAGGAUACAUGCUCCAUGACAGAGUUAUUCGACCAGCUGAAGUCGGCGUUACUCGAGAAGUGGAGAAUGGUGCUGAAGCAAAUGAAUAGGGAGUAGGAAGGCACUUAUACUUGAAGAUAUGACAUGGUAGAGAUUCCUAAGUUUUGUGUUCUUCCCAGAAGAAUGAGAUGUAACAUUUCUUGUCACAUUCAACUGUGCCUUGAAAAGGACUUGGCUUUUUUAUUUCUCCCAUGAUCCCUUAUAGUCCUCGAAGAUGAUGCAAUGAUAGGGCCUUUGCUCUGAAUAUUCUUCAUGCUUUAGAUGCUGUUUUGAGCUAGAGGAGGG
rnacentral:lncRNA from 1 species